GCAUCCUUCGGGAUGAGCGGCGGACGGGUGAGUAACGCGUGGGAAUAUGCCCUUCUCUAAGGAAUAGCCUCGGGAAACUGAGAGUAAUACCUUAUACGCCCUUCGGGGGAAAGAUUUAUCGGAGAAGGAUUAGCCCGCGUUAGAUUAGGUAGUUGGUGGGGUAAUGGCCUACCAAGCCUACGAUCUAUAGCUGGUUUGAGAGGAUGAUCAGCCACACUGGGACUGAGACACGGCCCAGACUCCUACGGGAGGCAGCAGUAGGGAAUCUUAGACAAUGGGGGAAACCCUGAUCUAGCCAUGCCGCGUGUGUGAUGAAGGCCUUAGGGUCGUAAAGCACUUUCGCCAGAGAUGAUAAUGACAGUAUCUGGUAAAGAAACCCCGGCUAACUCCGUGCCAGCAGCCGCGGUAAUACGGAGGGGGUUAGCGUUGUUCGGAAUUACUGGGCGUAAAGCGCACGUAGGCGGAUUAGUAAGUUAAGGGUGAAAUCCCAGGGCUCAACCCUGGAACUGCCUUUAAUACUGCUAGUCUUGAGUUC
rnacentral:rRNA from 1 species